CGCGUAGGUGGGAAGGUAAAUUAAGCAUGAAAGCCUGAGGCUCAACCUCAGAAUGGCGCUCAAAACUGCCUUUCUUGAGUCCCGGAGAGGCCGGCGGAAUUCCCGGUGUAGGGGUGAAAUCCGUAGAUAUCGGGAGGAACACCGGUGGCGAAGGCGGCCGGCUGGACGGGUACUGACGCUGAGGCGCGAAAGCGUGGGGAGCAAACAGGAUUAGAUACCCGAGUAGUCC
rnacentral:rRNA from 1 species